rnacentral:rRNA from 1 species
UGGGGGAUAUUACACAAUGGCAGAAACUCUGAUGUAGCAACGCCGCGUGGAGGAUGACACAUUUCGGUGCGUAAACUCCUUUUAUAUGGGAAGAUAAUGACGGUACCAUAUGAAUAAGCACCGGCUAACUCCGUGCCAGCAGCCGCGGUAAUACGGAGGGUGCAAGCGUUACUCGGAAUCACUGGGCGUAAAGCGCGCGCAGGCGGUCUUUUAAGUUGGAUGUGAAAUCCUAUGGCUCAACCAUAGAACUGCAUCCAAAACUGAAAGACAAGAGUCUGGGAGGGGAAGAUGGAAUUAGUGGUGUAGGGGUAAAAUCCGUAGAGAUCACUAGGAAUACCAAAAGCGAAGGCGAUCUUCUGGAACAGUACUGACGCUGAGGCGCGAAAGCGUGGGGAGCAAACAG